rnacentral:rRNA from 1 species
AGCGAACGCUGGCGGCAGGCUUAACACAUGCAAGUCGAACGCCCCGCAAGGGGAGUGGCAGACGGGUGAGUAACACGUGGGAACGUACCCUUUGGUUCGGAAUAACUUGGGGAAACUCAAGCUAAUACCGGAUAAGCCCUUAUGGGGAAAGGUUUACUGCCGAAGGAUCGGCCCGCGUCCGAUUAGCUAGUUGGUGAGGUAACGGCUCACCAAGGCGACGAUCAGUAGCUGGUCUGAGAGGAUGAUCAGCCACACUGGGACUGAGACGCGGCCCAGACUCCUACGGGAGGCAGCAGUGGGGAAUAUUGGACAAUGGGGGCAACCCUGAUCCAGCCAUGCCGCGUGAGUGAUGAAGGCCUUAGGGUUGUAAAGCUCUUUUACCCGGGACGAUAAUGACUGUACCGGGAGAAUAAGCCCCGGCUAACUUCGUGCCAGCCGCCGCGGUAA